CAGUAGCCACGGGAAUACGUAGGUGGCAAGCGUUGUCCGGAAUUAUUGGGCGUAAAGGACUCGCAGGCGGUUUCUUAAGUCUGAUGUGAAAGCCCCCGGCUCAACCGGGGAGGGUCAUUGGAAACUGGGAAACUUGAGUGCAGAAGAGGAGAGUGGAAUUCCACGUGUAGCGGUGAAAUGCGUAGAGAUGUGGAGGAACACCAGUGGCGAAGGCGACUCUCUGGUCUGUAACUGACGCUGAGGAGCGAAAGCGUGGGGAGCGAACAGGAUUAGAUACCCCCGUAGUCCCUGUCUCUUAUAC
rnacentral:rRNA from 1 species